GUUCGGAAAUUUAAAUUUUGAAUAAAAAAUAAAUAAAUGAUUCAUUUUUUAAGUUUUGUAUUUAAAAUAUAUUUUAACUGGUUUUCUAUUUUAAAAAAAAAUAAACUAUUAAUAGGUUUGGAGAUAAAACUUUAAAAAUAGAAAGACACUAGUUCAGUUGUUGUUUUGAAAUUUUAGAUGCAACUUUUGUUAAUGCAAGAAACAAGAACUUGAUAUAUAUAUUUAAGUGAGUAGCAGUUCGGAUAUUUCUACACUUCGAGUCGGGUUCAGGUAUUUUAUGUUCGGAUAUUUCUACACUUCAGGCCGGGUUCGGGUAUUUUAUGUUUGGGUUUGGAUAUUUUGGGCCGGUUCAGAUAUUUAAAUUUUGAAUAAAAAAUAAAUAAAUGAUUCAUUGUUCAAGUUUUUUGUAUUUAAAAU
rnacentral:lncRNA from 1 species